GCAGGGUUAUCUGAGCGGUCAAAAGAGCGUGGCUGUAAACCACGUGGCCUUGCGCCUACGGGGGUUCGAAUCCCUCACCCUGCA
rnacentral:tRNA from 1 species